rnacentral:lncRNA from 1 species
AGUCUAAUGCUUCUUCCACAGUAUCAGAUGGUGUGGGCUGCAGGUCUCUGCAGGUGAGGGCUUCUGGCUCAGCUGCUGGGGAGUAAGCACCAAGUAGGCACUUGGGCCAGAAAAACCAGGGUUGCUAAGGAAAUCAGAUGAAGGGAGGACAUUCAGAUGAAGAAACAGAUCAUUUCCAAGCAAGAACUAGCAAGAACUCCAGAUUCCUUAUGUGCAUUCAGAUGGUCUUUUUUGAAAGGUAUUUGGGCUUGAAAAGCACAUGUACUUUAUCAGCUGUGUACCUCUGCUAUUGUACAAGGAAAGCCUCAUUCUCUUCUGUCCGGAUACCAUCCUUCAACACCCUACUCAAAUGCCGCCUCCUCCAAGAAGCCUUCUUCCCUCCACUUGGAAGUAAAAUCUGCUUCUCUACUCAUUCCUCUCUCAUGGUCCUCAUCUCAUGCCAUGUUCUGUUCUAGCUGAUAACAUUUACAUAUGUGACUCAGUGGUAUACCUCAUGUAUUUGACACACAGAACGGAUCAUUUUAAUGACCCUCUGCUCUAUAAGACAAAAGUAUUUUCAGUCAUAUUUAUGUAAAAAUCAGCAAUCAUCACUACUUUCUCGAUUUCUUCUUUAGUUAUAAAGCAGUGAACAAUUUUUAAAAAGACAAAUACAUUUUAACUUUAAGAUAUUCAAAUGCAGUAAAAAUAUUUUUCGUAUGAGUCCAAAUUUUUACCUAUCAAACAAGAUGUUACAACUCAUUGUUCACAAUCUGUUUUGUUGCUUUAAAUUUUAAACACAUAUGAGAAGCUUACAGGGGUCACCUAGGAUGAGAGAAUUGAAAUAAUUCAAGUUCUGGUUUUUUGUUUGUACAACCACUACGCUAUCAUUUUUUGUUUCAAAUCUACUGUUUACAUGCAGAAGCAGGUAAUAAGUGCCACUGAGGUUGGAGACAUAAGGACGUCAAAGGAUCUGAACCAUCGCACACUUACUCUUGCAACAAGAACACGCCCCUGAGUCUGUGCAUGUUGGGGCCAAGUGCAUAACCGGGAGUUCUCCAGAUUAAUGUCAAUGUAGAACACAAUAUUUAUGAAAGGAUAAAUAAUAAAGAUGUGAUGAAUUUGAAGCUUACAUAUACUUACUACAUAAAAUCCAACAGUAACCACGGAGAUUGUUUAGAACUUAGGCCAUAAAACCAUUUUUUUCUGGAAAGAGCUUUGCCUUUAUCGCUGAUACUCUUUCUUUUGGGAUGGAGUUUCACUUUGUUGCCCAGGAUGGAGUGCGACGGCGCCAUCUCGGCUCAUUGCAACCUCUGCCUCCCGGGUUCAAGCAAUUCUCCUGCCUCAGCGUACCAAGUAGCUGGGAUUACAGGUGCCCAUGACCAAGCCUGGCUAAUGUUUUGUAUUUUUAGUAGAGAUGGCAUUUUACCAUGUUGGCCAGGCUGGUUUUGAACUCCUAACCUCAGGUGAUCCACCCACCUCGGCCUCCCAAAGUGCUGGGAUUACAGGCGUGAGCCACGGCGCCCGGCUGACAUUCUUUAUAAUUGUGAUAAUGACAGGCAGAUCAGCUUUUGGUUAUAUUUGUAUUUAAAUUCUCCACAGACGGUUGCUCUUUUAUUGAUGGCACAUCCCCCCUCCACCCAGUCCCAUGGCCCCCUAUUCCCUCCCCACCCCACUCCCACCCCAUUUGACUGUAAAUUCCUGCAAGGUGGGGACGGCUGUGCAGCCCCCUGUUGUACAGUGCCCACUGCACAAGCGCAGUGGUUUGCAGGCCAAGGCCCCAGGGAGAUCGCCUUAGGAUGUCCUCCCUUUUCCUCUAUGGGAGGCCAGAUUUUCUUCCUACAUUUCAAACAAAGCAAUACAUCACAACAGACUGAGUACAGAAACAGGUAAGAUAAUCCAGCUGUCUUGGGAAGCCAGAUAUUAGAGAGAUUUGCAACAUUUCUUUGUAAAACAAUGUCACUCUUCUCCAUUUAAAACUUAUUUGGAAAAUACAAGUUAUUUUUCAUAAAAUUACAUUAUAUGUGUUAAUAUGCAAGGGUUUAUUAUCAUUUUAAAAAGUGUUAGCAGAUUUUAAAGAUUUCUCAGUUUUAAUUUCUAAUGAAGGAAAUAUUGAUAUCUCACAUAAUAAACACUGUUUGGGGUCCUCAGUGAUUUUUAAGAGAGGAAACGUGUGAACAGAGUGUGUGAGUUGUACUCAGGCACUGCGUUACGUAUGGCAGGUGCUCAUGUAUGCUUGUGACACUCAUGAGGGACUGACUGAAUAGG